rnacentral:rRNA from 3 species
AAAUUGAAGAGUUUGAUCAUGGCUCAGAUUGAACGCUGGCGGCAGGCCUAACACAUGCAAGUCGAACGGUAACAGGAAGCAGCUUGCUGCUUUGCUGACGAGUGGCGGACGGGUGAGUAAUGUCUGGGAAACUGCCUGAUGGAGGGGGAUAACUACUGGAAACGGUGGCUAAUACCGCAUAACGUCGCAAGACCAAAGAGGGGGACCUUCGGGCCUCUUGCCAUCAGAUGUGCCCAGAUGGGAUUAGCUUGUUGGUGAGGUAACGGCUCACCAAGGCGACGAUCCCUAGCUGGUCUGAGAGGAUGACCAGCCACACUGGAACUGAGACACGGUCCAGACUCCUACGGGAGGCAGCAGUGGGGAAUAUUGCACAAUGGGCGCAAGCCUGAUGCAGCCAUGCCGCGUGUAUGAAGAAGGCCUUCGGGUUGUAAAGUACUUUCAGCGGGGAGGAAGGUGUUGUGGUUAAUAACCGCAGCAAUUGACGUUACCCGCAGAAGAAGCACCGGCUAACUCCGUGCCAGCAGCCGCGGUAAUACGGAGGGUGCAAGCGUUAAUCGGAAUUACUGGGCGUAAAGCGCACGCAGGCGGUCUGUCAAGUCGGAUGUGAAAUCCCCGGGCUCAACCUGGGAACUGCAUUCGAAACUGGCAGGCUUGAGUCUUGUAGAGGGGGGUAGAAUUCCAGGUGUAGCGGUGAAAUGCGUAGAGAUCUGGAGGAAUACCGGUGGCGAAGGCGGCCCCCUGGACAAAGACUGACGCUCAGGUGCGAAAGCGUGGGGAGCAAACAGGAUUAGAUACCCUGGUAGUCCACGCCGUAAACGAUGUCUACUUGGAGGUUGUGCCCUUGAGGCGUGGCUUCCGGAGCUAACGCGUUAAGUAGACCGCCUGGGGAGUACGGCCGCAAGGUUAAAACUCAAAUGAAUUGACGGGGGCCCGCACAAGCGGUGGAGCAUGUGGUUUAAUUCGAUGCAACGCGAAGAACCUUACCUGGUCUUGACAUCCACGGAAGUUUUCAGAGAUGAGAAUGUGCCUUCGGGAACCGUGAGACAGGUGCUGCAUGGCUGUCGUCAGCUCGUGUUGUGAAAUGUUGGGUUAAGUCCCGCAACGAGCGCAACCCUUAUCCUUUGUUGCCAGCGGUCCGGCCGGGAACUCAAAGGAGACUGCCAGUGAUAAACUGGAGGAAGGUGGGGAUGACGUCAAGUCAUCAUGGCCCUUACGACCAGGGCUACACACGUGCUACAAUGGCGCAUACAAAGAGAAGCGACCUCGCGAGAGCAAGCGGACCUCAUAAAGUGCGUCGUAGUCCGGAUUGGAGUCUGCAACUCGACUCCAUGAAGUCGGAAUCGCUAGUAAUCGUGGAUCAGAAUGCCACGGUGAAUACGUUCCCGGGCCUUGUACACACCGCCCGUCACACCAUGGGAGUGGGUUGCAAAAGAAGUAGGUAGCUUAACCUUCGGGAGGGCGCUUACCACUUUGUGAUUCAUGACUGGGGUGAAGUCGUAACAAGGUAACCGUAGGGGAACCUGC